UCCGCAGCAUCGCCGGAGUGCGCGUCCAUGACCCUGUGCGGGCCGAUCAAGAAGCACAUCAUCGAGCACUUCCACCACAAGAAGCCCGUGCCGCCUAAGCCGGAGCUCAAGCCCCAGCCCCACCCGGACUACGGCCCCGUGCCCAAGCCGGAGCCGAAGCCGCAGCCCCACCCGGACUACCACCCCCCUCCCACGCCCACCUACGGCGGCGGUGGCGGCGGCGGUGGAUACCACAGGCACCACUGAGUCAGGUCUACCCCCGUCCUGCCCAGCGAUGAAAUCUCAUCAUCAGCGGGUUGGUGAUCAGUGAGUGGUCGACGGUGCUAAUUAUGAUUGGUUUGCAUGCGUGAGUAUCGUUAGGUCUUCUGCCAUUCCCGCGAAGCCCCGUUUAUUAUCUGCACUGCAGAGUUGGGAGUUCAGAAUAACAGAUGUGCGUGUGUGUGUCGCUGUGUCAGGCAAGUGUGAGGGUGUGUUGGCGUGUUGCUUUAUCAAGAUUUUGUAAUUUCAGUGUGUGUUUUGUAUAAGAAGUUAUUAUGAAUCAAGUAAUUUAAACAAGUCGAUUUGUCAACCGAACAACUGCAGCUGUUCGAGACGAUUGGCAUGAUAAGGAUAGUGUGAUUUUACUUCAACUCAAUUUUCAGAUCCGUGAACUGAAACUGAAGUGAAAUUCAGGCGUGUGCAAUGCAUUCAUACUGCUGGUCAUAGUUUUUUCUCUUACGAUGAACAAGUCGAUUUAUGAACAUUUUUCCUAGAUAAGUGAGGCUUUUAAAAAAUGUUCAUCAUGUGUUCAAAACAAUGAUAACCGUAAAUUUAAAGCAAAAUUGUUCGCCGUGUAUCUUAAAAAUGUUCAUCAUGAAUUUAAAAGGUUUGCCACUAAUUUUAAAAAGUUCAUCAUGUAUUUAUAUCACUAAUUUAGUUAUCUAAACGCUCUUAUAUUAGUUUACAGAGGGAGUAUUUAAAAGUUGUCAUCACGUAAUUAAAAAAAGGUUAAUUGUGCAUUAAUGAAAAUUUUCACCAUGUUUCAGAAAUGUUCAUCAUGUAUUAAUAAACUUAACCUUGUAUUUUUAAAAGUAAAAAAAUGCUCAUUGUGUAUUUAAAACAUAUAAAGAUAUUUUUUUGUAAAUGAACUAAAAAUAUUCAUUCUGUAUUAAAAAAAUAUUCACCAUGAAUUGUUCAAAAAAAUCACCUUGUAUUAUUCAAAAACGCUCAGACACAAAGGACAAAUGCUCAUACACGGUGUGGGGAAAAGGAGAAAAUGCAUAGAGUAAAAGAACAACAAAAGAGGAAAAAUGGACAAUGAAAAAAAAAAGGAAAGAAUGAAGAAUCCAACUAAGAAAAAAAACAGUUCAGAAGCCAAACACAAAAACCAUGCAAAAAGACGCAGCAGGAACCAGCGAACGAAACAACACCCCUAGCUGGCCUGCCCAAGUCACCUUGCUUGUGACUGUCUUCGCAUCCAUUUGACGUGUGUGCGUAUUUGCCGGAGACCUCCUAUUCCCUGACCUACGCGGGGAAAAGUGAGGAAACAUGCACCUAAACCUGUGGGUAGCCCGACCCGAGCCUGGCCCGAAAAAUCCAGGCCACGCUGGGGCCUUGUUUUGCAGCCCAAUGUACAUUUCGCCUAGGCUCGGGCUUUUGUAACAAUACUGAGAAAUAGUAUUUGGUCGGGCUUUCAAUAUUCAGGUCGGGCUUACAACUAACAACAUUGAUAAACACCAUUCGAGCUAGACUUUCGGGCUUCGGGCCUAUAUUUGGCUGAGGCUCGAGCUUGAGAAAGUGUGUACUUUCGGGAUUUGGACCAGCUGGGGCUUGAAGUUUGGGUUUCUGGCUUUUUGAAGCCCAGCCCGCCAUAUAAUCAGGUUUAAGUGCACCCCCGCCCCCCACGCGUGCUUUUGGCCGGCCCAUAUGCGGGGUGAGCCGGGCUUAUUAUUAUUAUUUUUGCUUUUGUACUUUCGUUCUUUCUCAAUUGCAAGAAAUGUUCAUAAAAUAAGCAUAUGUUUGCACAUUUCUCAAAGUGCUUCAAAUUUUCAAAAUAUUAUAUGAUUUAAAUUCUUCAUAAAUUGAAAAUUUUCUUGAAUUUCAGAAAAUGUUCAUGAAUUGUAAAAUUGUUCCCCUAGUUCACAAAUUAUUCAUGUAUUUGAAAGUCCAUGGAUUCGAAAAUUGCUCGCGAAUUUGAGAAUGGAAUAAUAGAGUGAGUAUAGCAAUUGAUAUCUAUAGAUACUUUGCGAGGUUUAUAUCAUUAAAUUUAGAAAUGAUGUCAUUAUCACGACAUGUAUUGGAUGUCCUUUUUUCACUAGUUAAUAUCCAUAAAAUAUCAUGUUAGAUGACCGAUUUUUCAUAAUAUAACAUUUAUUGUGAAUCAAAAACCAGAAAGCAAGAAUCCUGCAAAGAAAAUGUAACACAUAAUCCUAGAGAGCGCCUUACACAUCUCAUUUCUAAGUGUGUUUACUUAUAAUUUGGUAAACAUAAGUCCAAGCAAAUCAAAGAAAAUCAAAGUACAGAGAAUACCUACAUACCAUGGCCCAUUGACCGGUCCACACAAUUGACUGCUUUAAUGUGACCCAUCAAAGACACUCAGAGCUUCAAAGGUGAACUGUUCUUUGAUCCAGGCUUUGGUUGGCACCGUAAAGAAUGCAAAAUAACAGCUCAAAUAUUUGUAUCAGCAAAAGAUCAAACAACUGAAAUAAGAAGCACAGAGCACAUGAGCAAGGAACAUAAAUGUUGUUAAUAAAACAAGAAAAAAACUAAGAUACACUUGUGUCACUCGCAACUCACUAACUCAUCACAAAUUCUUCAUACGAGCAAAAUAACACUACUAGGGACAAAGCAGGGCUUCGAUUUUCUUGCACAACAGCUAACAGUUAGAGUUUUUAAUUCAUGUUUACCCAAUAAUUCUCCACAAUUCCUCACAUAGUUUCUAGUUCAACCAUUACUGGUAUGUAAAUAGACAAGAUUAGAUCGAUACUAAAAUUUGCAUUACGCUAUCGACGAAUGACGGCUCAAUUUUAUCUCCACAUAGAUGACACAAGAAUCUCAUUUGAGCAGUUGGUCACAAUGCAUACUAGCAUACUAAUGUUUCCAAUCGAACCGCAGCCAGAAACUUAGAACGACUUAUCCAACUUCUACCACCAAAUCAAAUUCAUAAUAUGAUGUUGCCUCCACGUUCCACGAUCCCGGUAGGUACAUCCAUGCACUUUCCACAUGCGAGAUGCGAUGAAGAUGUGAGAUGUGGCCAAAGAUUUGGGAUGUUGUAAACAUAUCUACGAGAUAUUUUUUUCUCUAUGUAUACCUAAUAGUUUACUAGAAGCCGCUAUCAGGAUAUUUCUGACUUUAAAAGACACACACACACAGAGAGAGAGAGAUAUACGUAUAUACUAUGGUCAUGUGAGUGUCACAAAUUAAUCCAUGAAACAUGCAAUUUUAUGUAGUCUAUUUUCUUAUGGUUAGAGGGGUUAAGUUUAAGUAUUAUUUUAUGGUGCAAUCUAUUGAAUAGAAAGAAACUAAUCAAAUUUAGCGUAGGGCGUGCAUAUAUUUUAAUGACACACAUUACAACCUAGCAGAAAAUAAUAUUAUUUAUAUUGAGCAUAAUUAUCGUAAGUAAAUAUAAAAAAGAAGUAACCGCUCGCAGUUAAUAGUGAGUUUUAAACAUGUAUAAAAGUUUAAUAUAAAUAUUCAAUUUAAUUAGACUCGAUUUCUUGUCACCGCCCUAGAUUCAUGUUUGUAAUUAGUGGCAUUGCAUCCAUGCAUCAUGUCUAAUUUUAUCAGAAAUUUGAAUUGAGGGAAUUUUCAAAACCUCAGAAACAUUUUAGAAAUUAUCAACACUAAAAUCUUCUCAAAUAAGUCCAAGAAAAUGUUCCUGUUAUUUUAUGAAAAUAUUGGAAAGAGGUAAAAUUAAAACCAGUGUUUUUGGAUUGUCAGAAAUAUUUAUUUUGGGAAUUUGAGUUAAUCUAAUAAUUAUUUGCAUUAGACUUAUAUUUAUUAUAUAUUAAAUAUUGGUCCAAAAAAUUUGAAAGUUUGUAUGAGGCUCUGGACUAGUUCCCUAAGUCCACAUAUUGAAUUUCAGAAGUUUAUAAAGUGAUUUGGUAGUUAAACCAAAUCAAACAAACAGAACAAAAUGGAAAACAAAAACAGAAAGGGAAGAACAGAGAGAGAGAGAGAGAGUUUACCUGGCAGCCCACUUACCCGGCCCAACUCCUCUAGCCGGCCCAGCCUACCUGGCUCUGCCAGUCGUCCUCUACCUCGUGCCAGAGGGCACGAGGGCGUGUGGCCGCCGCCCACGCGUACGCACCGCGCCACCUCCUGCUUGCCGCUUCGCUCUGGCCCUCUCUGGACGUCGACACGUAGCCCCCUGGUCCUCUCCCUCGCUCCCCUCGUCCUUCCCCUCCUCUGGAUCCCUCUCUCUCUCUCACCACCGAGCGGGGCUCAUCGCCACCGACGCCGUUCACCGUAGCCACCGCCUCCUCCUGAACCUCUCUCCGCGCCCAGAAGCUCCGCCACUUCGUCCUCGACCCCCUCGCUGAGCCACGCAACGCCGGACGCCCUGAAGCCUCGCCAACACCGUCGUUCCCCUCGUCGGUCACCGCGGAUCCUCGCCGUUGAUUCAGGAGCUACAGGACCUCCCCGAGCACUCUGAGCUUCUCUACAAGUCCUCCGUGAGCCCCUCUUUCCCCUACCCUAACCUCGUUGCUUCGCUCGACCUCUAGCUAGCGCUGCCGCCAUGGCCGAGCUCCGCCGCCGCCUGCCUUGUCAUGCGCCACCAUUGCAGCCCGCGCCCGUCGUUGGAGAGCAUGGCAACGAGCUCGUCGUGCCUCCAGGAGGCCGGCUAUCCCUUUUGCUAGCUCGCCCGUGCCCCGUAGCACCGCUGCCCGCUUGCGCCCGAACUCCGGCCGCCGCCCAAGUGGUCGCCGCCGUCGACCCCGGCCUCCCUGCGCCUAGCUGCAUGCACCCCUGGAUGCGGGCGAGCGAGGGCUUCCUCAUGGUGCCCUGCUACCUCUUGAGCACUGCGUUGGUUUUCCCUAGAAAAGGAAAGGGUGAUGCAGCAAAGUGGCGUAAGUAUUUCCCUCAGUUUUUGAAAACCAAGGUAUCAAUCCAGUAGGAGGCUACACACGAGUCCCUCGCACCUACACAAACGAAUAAAUCCUCGCAACCAACAUGAUAAGGGGUUGUCAAUCCCUACACGGUCACUUACGAGAGUGAGAUCUGAUAGAUAUGAUAAGAUAAUAUUUUUGGUAUUUUUGUGAUAAAGAUGCAAAGUAAAGAAAGUAAAAUAAAAACGGCGCUAGAAAUAGCUAAGUGUUGGAAGAUUAAUAUGAUGGAAAAUAGACCCGGGGGCCAUAGGUUUCACUAGUGGCUUCUCUCGAGAGCAUAAGUAUUUACGGUGGGUGAACAAAUUACUGUUGAGCAAUUGACAGAAUUGAGCAUAGUUGUGAGAAUAUCUAGGCAUGAUCAUGUAUAUAGGCAUGACGUCCGAAACAAGUAGACCGACUCCUGCCUGCAUCUACUACUAUUACUCCACACAUCGACCGCUAUCCAGCAUGCGUCUAGAGUAUUAAGUUCAUAAGAACAGAGUAACGCUUUAAGCAAGAUGACAUGAUGUAGAGGGAUAAACUCAUGCAAUAUGAUAUAAACCCCAUCUUGUUAUCCUCGAUGGCAACAAUACAUUACGUGCCUUGCUGCCCCCACUGUCACUGGAAAAGGACACCGCAAGAUUGAACCCAAAGCUAAGCACUUCUCCCAUUGCAAGAAAGAUCAAUCUAGUAGGCCAACCCAAACUGAUAAUUCGAAGAGACUUGCAAAGAUAACCAAUCAUACAUAAAAGAAUUCAGAAGAUUCAAAUAUUGUUCAUAGAUAAGCUUGAUCAUAAACCCACAAUUCAUCGGUCUCCACAAACACAUCACAAAAGAAGAUUACAUCGAAUAGAUCUCCACAAGAGAGGGGGAGAACAUUGUAUUGAGAUCGAAAAAGAGAGAAGAAGCCAUCUAGCUAAUAACUAUGGACCCGAAGGUCUGAGGUAAACUACUCACACUUCAUCGGAGAGCCUAUGGUGUUGAUGUAGAAGCCCUCCGUCAUCGAUGCCCCCUCCGGCGGAGCUCCGAAACAGGCCCCAAGAUGGGAUCUCACGAAUACAGAAGGUUGCGGCGGUGAAAUUAGGUUUUUAGCUGCGUAUCUGAUCGUUUGGGGGUACGUAGCUAUAUAUAGGAGGAAGGAGUACGUCGGUGGAGCAACGUGGGGCCCACGAGGGUGGAGGGCGCGCCCAGGGGGUAGGAGCGCCCCCUACCUCGUGGCUUCCUGGUAGCUUUCUUGACGUAGGGUCCAAGUCAUCUGGAUCAUGUUUGUUCCGAAAAUCACGUUUCCGAAGGUUUCAUUCCGUUUGGACGCCGUUUGAUAUCCUGCGAAACUCUGAAAUAGGCAAAAACAGCAAUUCUGGGCUGGGCCUCCGGUUAAUAGGUUAGUCCCAAAAAUAAUAUAAAAGUGCAUAAUAAAGCCCAAUAAUGUCCAAAACAGAAGAUAAUAUAGCAUGGAGCAAUCAAAAAUUAUAGAUACGUUGGAGACGUAUCAAGCAUCCCCAAGCUUAAUUCCUGCUCGUCCUCGAGUAGGUAAAUGAUAAAAACAGAAUUUUUGAUGUGGAAUGCUACUUGGCAUAAUUUCAAUGUAAUUUUUAUUAAUUGUGGUAUGAAUAUUCAGAUCCGAAAGAUUCAAGAUAAAAGUUCAAUAUUGACAUAAAAAUAAUAAUACUUCAAGCAUACUAACUAAGCAAUUAUGUCCGCAGCAUCGCCGGAGUGCGCGUCCAUGACCCUGUGCGGGCCGAUCAAGAAGCACAUCAUUGAGCACUUCCACCACAAGAAGCCCGUGCCGCCUAAGCCGGAGCUCAAGCCCCAGCCCCACCCGGACUACGGGCCCGUGCCCAAGCCGGAGCCGAAGCCGCAGCCCCACCCGGACUACCACCCCCCUCCCACGCCCACCUACGGCGGCGGUGGCGGCGGCGGUGGAUACCACAGGCACCACUGAGUCAGGUCUACCCCCGUCCUGCCCAGCGAUGAAAUCUCAUCAUCAGCGGGUUGGUGAUCAGUGAGUGGUCGACGGUGCUAAUUAUGAUUGGUUUGCAUGCGUGAGUAUCGUUAGGUCUUCUGCCAUUCCCGCGAAGCCCCGUUUAUUAUCUGCACUGUAGAGUUGGGAGUUCAGAAUAACAGAUGUGCGUGUGUGUGUCGCUGUGUCAGGCAAGUGUGAGGGUGUGUUGGCGUGUUGCUUUAUCAAGAUUUUGUAAUUUCAGUGUGUGUUUUGUAUAAGAAGUUAUUAUGAAUCAAGUAAUUUAAACAAGUCGAUUUGUCAACCGAACAACUGCAGCUGUUCGAGACGAUUGGCAUGAUAAGGAUAGUGUGAUUUUACUUCAACUCAAUUUUCAGAUCCGUGAACUGAAACUGAAGUGAAAUUCAG
rnacentral:lncRNA from 1 species